UGAACAUGGGCACGGAGAUGCAGAUCAGUAGUCAACAAUAUCGAGCUCUAUAUGUUAUCCUGCCUCGUCAUCUCUACAUCAAGAUGCAGAAGCAUUCAAACUUGUGCUACCUAUACUAGUAGUACCAUUGGGAGUACAUGAAGAAACACGAGACAUUAGUUUUGGGCUUGAAAUACAAGUACAUGUACGGGCUUGUAAAGUUUGAAAUUAUUUGGAAAUAUAAAUCCAUCUAUAUUUGUCAUAAAUAGUGAAACUUUUUUUAUAUAUCUUUCACAAUGAGUGCCUAAAACUUUGUAUAUGACAACACAAGAUUGGCACACAAUGUUUUAAAUAUCGUCAGCCUUCUCCACCCGCUAAAAGCACCGCUAUUGCCU
rnacentral:lncRNA from 1 species